rnacentral:rRNA from 1 species
GAGUCUGGUCUGCCCGGUGAUGUGUUUAAACGGCUGCAACGAGAGUUGUGCUAAGGUAGCGCGAUAAUUAGUCUCUUAAUUGGAGAAUGGUAUGAAUGAUUUGACGUGGAUUAACUGUCUUUAAAAAAUUAAUUGAAGUUUCCAUUUUGGUGAAAAGGCCAAAAUUUUUGUAAAAGACGAGAAGACCCUGUCGAGCUUAAUUAGAGUUUUUAAUACUUUAGGUAUUAAUUAAUUGAAUUUUUAUUGGGGCAAUAAGCACUAAAAUAACAGUGUUGUUAUUUAUAAAGAUCCUCUUUGAGAGAAGUCAGCAGAAGCUACCGCAGGGAUAACAGCGUUAUCCUUUUUGGGAGAUCGAAUUGAGGAAAGGGUUUGCGACCUCGAUGUUGGAUUAUGGAAACACUGUGGUUGCAGAAGCUAUGGUAGUAAGACUGUUCGUCUUUUAAAUCCGUACAUGAUCUGAGUUUCCAGACCGGAA